GCUCCACAUAUGUAAGACCCUUGUGCCUAAAUUGUGUUAACGAAUAUCGUGUGUUAAUUCUCUCCUUAAUUUUCUCCUUACAUUACUUUCCAUUUAAACUUUCUGUUCACUUCUAUUCUAACGGCAGAUAGAAUGAAAUUGUUUUUCAAGUGCGAACUGAAUCUUUUUUUAGUUUGUUUGGUCAUUAAAAUUUUAAACUUCAUGAUCCUAGCUCUUCUUGGUGAAAAAUCAGUCUUGAAAAUCAAGAAGCGCUCAAACUCCAAACCAAACCAAAUCAAACCAAUCCAUCUUUUCUUUUCUUUUUCCUUCGACUUGCUUUAUUGCAGUUCUAACUUGUUGUUCAUGUUCUUUUCAAAUCAAGAAAUUAAUUUCCAAAUUCGGUUCUUGCUUCUUGGGUUCCAAAUCGACUUCUUUAAAUGAGAUUUUUACAACCCUUUAGUCGAAUUACUCCUUUUCGUAAGAUCUCUUUGUUUUUCUUUGUUUGAGUCAUUUUCUAAUUUGUUUAAUUAUUUUCUUUUAGAUAUUCUUUUUCAGCAUUAAAACUCCUCAAUAUUAGUUUCUUUUCCAUCAAUAAAGCGUCCCUACAUCAAAAUGUACUUAGGAAUUUUUACAACCCUUUACAAAAUGAAUCUAGGAAUUUUUAUAGGAAUCUAUGGCUCCUAAAUCUACCUCCUAAGUUAAAAAUUAUAGUCUGGAAAAUAUCAUGGAACUAUAUUCCAACUCGGGUCAACUUGAACUACAGAAGGCUUUCAAACAACGUGACAUGCGUUGGGUGUGGCAGAGCAGCAGAAUCCACAAAUCAUAUAUUUCGUGAAUGUCCUAUGGCAAGAACAGUAUAGGAAGAGUUAUUAUUCUCAGAAGUAUUACAAGCUCCUUAUAUGGAUUUUGUACAGUGGCUCACCUGGGUUUUUGAAAAGAACUCCCCCAAUCAACGACGGAUCUUUUACUGUGCUCUUUGGGCAAUAUGGGGAGAAAGGAAUAAGAGAGUGCAUGAAAAGACUAAUAGAUCUAGGAAAGAGAUAGCAUUUUUUAUAAAGAGAUAUAUUAGUGAAUUGAAUUAGAUUGAAGCAAAAGUACCACAGGUUAAAAUAGGAGGCAGAGAGUGGAAACACCCACCGGAUCAGUUUGUAAAAGUCAACUUUGAUGCAGCCUAUGAUGGGAACCUACGGCAAUCGGCAGCAGGAAUUGUGGCUAGGGAUAGCGAAGGAAAUACUCUUUUAUCAUGUACAGAGAUUCAUCAUCAUCAACUCAAAUAGGCAGGGACAUGCAAUGGCCAAACAUUAUUAUUGAAGGGGAUGCAUUAUCAAUUAUAAAGAAGUGCAAACUAAAAAGUUAUGAUAAAUCUAUGAUCGGAGCAUAUAUCCAAGAUAUACAUCAGCUACUGGAAAAAUCUGGAAAAUGCUAUUUUGAGUACAUUCCCAGAGAAGCGAACAGCCUAGAACAUAAACUAGCGAUGGAGACAUUAAAGAAAAAAGAAAGUCUUACCUGAUUGGAAGAGUCCCGGGGUAUGCUGAGAACCUGGAAGAAACUGAAAAAAGGGCAGGAACAAAUGUGGAGAAGAAAUGAAAGGUUACAGAAAAAAGAAGUUGUAUAGUGGAAAUUCAAAGGCGUGGUGGACAAGGCUUCAUUGAAAUCUGGAAACGUCUCAUUGAUGAAAUGAAAGAUGAUUUUGAAAAAACUGAAAUGGAUUUUUCUGAUUAGGCAAGAUAUGAUGGCAUUUAGGGCCCGUUCUUCUGCCCGUUUUAGAAGCACUUUUAGGGAAAAAAGUCCUUCUUCCUGAAAAGGAAGAAAGAACAAACUCCUUUUCUUCAAAAAAAUUCACUGUUAGAAAAUCACUUCUCUCCAGAUGCGAAGCUAAAAAUUUCUCCUUUUCUUCAGCUUGAAGUGCUUUUGGCUGGAAAUUGACCAAAUUAACCUGUCUCUUCUCCCACAAACGUUCUUUCCCCUCUUCUGCUGGUUCUUUGGAACUGUCUUCUCCCACAAACUUGCUUUUGGCUGAAAAGAAUAGAAAUUUGAUUUCUCAUUCAGGUUAUUAGGUUCUAGAGGAUUCUGAUUUUUAUGUUUUUUAGGGCUGUUUUCUAGUUUCUUUUAAAGAUUUGGACUAUAGGUUUUUGCUUUGUUCUUCGGGCCAAAACUUGCAUCUGGUUUUAGCCUGAGUGUUUUGUGCUUUUCAUUUUUAAGUCAAUAAAAGCCCAAACUGAAUUAGUUUCAAAAAAAAAACUGUAGGAUUUUUUGACAAAUAAAAAAAUGUGGUUAACUAAUUACAGAAUUUUGAAUUAUAUUUGCAACACACUUUGAAAUGCCAAAAUCAUUUUCUAGCCCUAGAUACCAUCAUUUUACAAAAGCAGUGCAAAUAUUGGAGAGGCAGCUUUAACCAAAUCACAAAUUAAUUUCUUCAGCUAGCAAGUUUGGGUUACGAUAUAGCUAGGUACUAUAUUAUUAAUAAUUUGGCUAUGCACACAAUUUUAUUUUUGCAACCAUUUAAUCUUUAAAACUUUGAAUAUGAUCUUGAUUAGGAAAGCUAAAAAUAAGUGAAAAAGAGAAAGAAAAGAGUACUCUACCGUACCUUAUAUUAAGAAAUAGAAAUAUUUGUUAUAUUAUGAAAGGUGGCGGGAAGGAAGUGUUAGAAAGAUCCGGAACCAUUGGAAGGCUCUUAUUUUAUUUCUCCUCAGCUUCGC
rnacentral:lncRNA from 1 species